rnacentral:rRNA from 1 species
AUUGAACGCUGGCGGCAUGCUUUACACAUGCAAGUCGAACGGUAACAGGCCUUCGGUUGCUGACGAGUGGCGAACGGGUGAGUAAUGCAUCGGAACGUACCCAGAGGUUGGGGAUAGCGCAGCGAAAGCUGUGCUAAUACCGCAUGUGAGCUGAGGAUGAAAGCGGGGGACCGAGCAGCAAUGUUUGGCCUCGCGCCUUUGUAGCGGCCGAUGUCGGAUUAGCUAGUUGGUGGGGUAAAGGCCUACCAAGGCGACGAUCCGUAGCUGGUCUGAGAGGACGACCAGCCACACUGGGACUGAGACACGGCCCAGACUCCUACGGGAGGCAGCAGUGGGGAAUUUUGGACAAUGGGCGCAAGCCUGAUCCAGCAAUGCCGCGUGAGGGAAGAAGGCCUUCGGGUUGUAAACCGCUUUUGGCAGGAACGAAACGGUGUCCGCUAAUACCGGGCGCUAAUGACGGUACCUGAAGAAUAAGCAACGGCUAACUACGUG